UUUGCUUAUUCAUUCUUCCGUUGGUGAGCAUUUGGAUUGUUGCCCAUUUUGGUGAAGUGAUGAUGGAUGUUCGUAUCCAAGUUUUGUGGACAUAUAUUUUUAUUUUUCUUGGUUCCAUACCUAGGAGUGGGGUUGCUGGAUUAUGGGCAUUGCAUCAAAUACAUCUGCCGGCUUGUGAAAGAGACCAGAGGAGGGCUGGGGCACCAAGGAGGAUUGACAGAAAAACUGGCCCAAGAAGAAGGCUGAGCCAGACAGAGCAGUUUCCACUUUGUGAAUCAGACUGUGAUUCAAUUGGCCUCCUUUCCCUUAUUCAUGAAAUUCAGCCCAGAAGGUUGUGUUCUUUCAUUGCUCCCAUCAACCCACUCUGAAGCGAGCAGAGCUCCUCUGAAGAUCACUCAUUCUUCCCAAGGGACAGUGGAGCAGGUUAGGAGCACUGAAGGCCCGGAAGAGGGCAGCCUUGGAUCCAUCAUGCUGAGAACCCCAGAUUGAUAGAUUCCUACUCUCCAAGGCUGUGUGUGUCCUGGACCACAGCAUGGCUCUCGUGACUGUGCUGUCUCACAAAGCUGUGUCAUUACAGAUACUCAUUUUGAUGACAUUUCUGCAAACAGUUCUGUUCCAAAUGGUUAAAACCAACAAAAGGGUUUAUGCUUCAAGGUGCAGAAAACAUUCUAUGAAAUUACAGAUCUAUCCUAACCCAUCUGCUGCUUUAAUGGUGCACUA